UAAUACGGAGGGUGCAAGCGUUAUCCGGAAUCACUGGGUUUAAAGGGUGCGUAGGCGGUCUAAUAAGUCAGUCGUGAAAUCGCUGGGCUCAACCCAUGCAAUUGCGAUUGAUACUGCUAGACUUGAAUGGGGUUGAGGCUGGCGGAAUGCGACAUGUAGCGGUGAAAUGCUUAGAUAUGUCGCAGAACACCGAUUGCGAAGGCAGCCAGCUGGGCCUUUAUUGACGCUGAGGCACGAAAGCGUGGGGAGCAAACAGG
rnacentral:rRNA from 1 species